AAGUGAAUAACCCAUUGAAAUAUGGGCUGAUUUAACGUAAAAGAUGAUAAAAUUAAAAGUAAAUAGUUUAAGACAAUCCCUGGUACCCCGCUGUAGUGCUCUCACCCAGCUUUAUGAGGCCUUUUGAAUCACUUGAAAAGCUGUCUUGGUUAUAGAGAAAAUCCCAAUACCGAAAACGGCAUUUUGCCCCUCAAACUGGCGCCAGAGCGUCAUCCGUUGAACACCGUACUUAAUCCCUGUCUUUAAUUGGCCUUUUGGGAAGUUUGUUUUAAUUUUUUAUAAAAACUUAUAAGCCCAGGGCUUUGUUUCUAUGACUUUGGUCCUUUUACUAUCAGUCACUUUAAAUAUGUGUAUGUUUAUGUAUAUGUGCAUAGACAUGUAUAAUUAGUGGUACACUAAUUUUGAUAGAGAAAAUAGCAUUUUCACGAAAAGGUAUUUAUUCAAUUCAACGGACGCCCAGGUGUGAGGGAAAUCAAGAUGAUGCUUAGUACAUUUCUUUACUGUGAAGGAAAGCAUCAGAAGCAGUCGCUAUACCAGAUAUAUGUAUCAUUGUACAUGUAUAUGUUUAUUUCACUGUAACAUAUGCAUCCACCUACGUGGACAGCAGCUAUAAUAUUGUAUAUUUAUCACAUACAUGUACCGUUAGUGGAUAUUCUAUAGUCCACCCACCUCUUCGGAGCAGAGAACAGGACAAUGACUCCGAGUGAGUGGAUGGAUAUGGACUGAGAACUUGACUUGAUCAACACCAGACUGUUUAAGUAAUAUGUUUUUAGUAGUUACUACAUGUAUCAAAAAUGAAUAUUUUUUUGUAAAAGACCAUCGGUUACAUUGUUGUGAAUCAACUGGAGUGGGAAUCGGUUCAGGAAAGAUUUUCACGGGUCCUACAGGUACUUGACCAUUGACAUUGUGCACCUGUGUAUUUACUGGUAUUGCAAUGACAUUACCCGGUAAUUAUGAUUUGAUAUUGAUAUCAGGUUAAAAAGAAAAAAACGUUGAUAGAAAUGGUUUAAUAAUUGUAUAAAUAGUUUUCAGAUUGGUCUUGAAAAGCCAUGUUUAAACUUAACAAUAGUUAAUGAAAUAGAGCUAUGUUUCCUUGAUACUUUAAUCCAAGAGACAAACUAACAGAGAUAAAUAGAAGAGAGAGGCUGACUUGUACAUACAGUAUGACGUUAUACAAGUACUAGUAUAUUCUGAAAUGAUAUAUGUAUCUGGGGUAGUAGAGCUAGCAAUUUUUUGCUCAGCCAAAUCACCAUUUUUUGUCAAUUUGUUAUCAAAAUGGUUUUACUUUGACUAAAACAAGUCAAAUCAAGCCCUUUUGCUUUAGUCAAUUUAAGGAAGUUUUAGCAUUUGGCUAAAUUGACAAGUGUUAGCGCUACCCCAGUGUAUUUUAUCAAUAUAGACAUAGAUGUUAUGUUAAAUGGGAUCCAAAGCCGAGGCAAAACAUACAGAUAUAAUUCUAUAGUCAAAUAUAGGACUGGUUACGAUUGACAAAACCAAAGGUGCACACCGUCUAAAGAUUGUAGAAUGUUUGGGAUGUGCUGCUCUGCUACAAUUUUCAGACAGGACAUUUUGCAUGUACAGGGCACCCACCACUGCGGGUGUUUGAAUGGCAAUGGGAUACUUCAUUCGGGUAACCGACGUGCAGGACCACGUUGGUACCUUGCUUCAUAUUUUCUGGUCCAAACUCUGAUGGUACCUGUCCAGACGUUAUGAUUAGAUGUGAUAUAUGAUAUGAUGACCCGGGAGCUCUCCUUGGUGUGGCUGAAGAUGAUGUUGACCACUGUAUCAAUAUUAUUUUGGUCCCACUGCAUGCACGGACAUUGUUUUUGGCAUUGUGCGGAGAUGAUCAAGUAAGUGGUAUCAGAGAACAUAUUAUAUGUGUUUGCUUGACAACCUCCAUUACCAUUCCAAGAUUACCAAGUCUAUGGACAGUUAUCCUCUGGUUAAAUUACAUGACUGACAUAUAAUAUACAUGUACAUCUUUUCAUAUAUGUGUUUAUCAAAACUUAAAUCAGAAUGAGGAAAUAUAAAAAUAGCUUUUAAAUAAUUUUCAGAAUCAUUAUGGGUUUUCAUUUAAUACACUUUAUGUUGUGGACUAUAUUUUUAUUGAGGAGUAUCAAUCAAUUGCUUGUUUCAAAAGCACCUUCUAUGUAAACAGAUGUUUGGAUAUGGCUUUUUUAAGAUCGUAAAGCUUUAAGCGAUUGCAGUUAGGACACAUUUUCUAUUAUAUAAACACUAAACAAUUGAUAUUCGCUAUUUAGGAAUUACUAUUUUCCAUAUUUUGCCCCCUCUGUAUGAUAGACUUUCAUUUGAUUUGCAAUGCAACUUAAAGAAAUGAAACAAAAAAACAAAUUCUAAAUGACUUUGUAUUCUGAACUUUAUUGCAUCGUUUUUUUUCACCCCCGUAAAAAAUUAUAUCAAGUUGUUCAAUAUGUAUCAAUAUCAGACACAAAUGUUGGUUAGUGCUGAUAUUAACUUUAUUUUCCGAAGUUGCAUAAAAAAGGGAAUCUAAAUAAAAUAUUAUUGAUUGUCGUGUUAAUUUUCUUUGGUAGUUAACUUCUAUUGCACCUUACGUAGGACGGGCUUAUAAUACAUGUUUAAGAAUGAUGCACAAGCAUAAGCAAGGAAAUCUAUCUUUACAAUAGUCUUUGGUUGGGGUUCUUAGCAUCUGCCUGCAGAUGAUUCGGAUUACAGCUUUUACCACGUGGACACAAUAUUCUAAUCAAAUGUCAGUAUUGGUUCACGUGUCAGGGGGAUCCAAUUAGACAAUGGGAAAGGUGAUAUUUAUAACAUGAUUAUUCACAGUAUGUGACACUUCCCUUGACUGCUUGAUAUAGAUAUGCAAUGAGUGAAAAUGAUAAUUUAAUCUAAAAAACAGAUUACAUUCUUCUUUGUUAUAGAAGAAAUAAUCUAAAAUAACUCAGCUGUCUUACUUCCUAGAUCCUUCUGGUCUUUAAUUUUUUUUCAUUUUCAGUUCCAAUUUCAGCAAGCAUUUCACAUCUUGCACUUUCAACUC